rnacentral:rRNA from 1 species
UGGGGAAUAUUGGACAAUGGGGGCAACCCUGAUCCAGCAAUACCGCGUGAAUGAAGAAGGCCUUAGGGUUGUAAAGUUCUUUUGUCAGGGAAGAUUAUGACGGUACCUGACGAAUAAGUCCCGGCUAACUCCGUGCCAGCAGCCGCGGUAAUACGGAGGGGGCAAGCGUUGUUCGGAAUUACUGGGCGUAAAGGGUGUGUAGGCGGUACAUCAAGUCAGACGUGAAAGACCUAGGCUCAACCUAGGAGGUGCGUUUGAGACUGAUGAACUUGAGAUCGGGAGAGGUGAGUAGAAUUCCAAGUGUAGAGGUGAAAUUCGUAGAUAUUUGGAGGAAUACCAGUGGCGAAGGCGGCUCACUGGACCGAAUCUGACGCUGAGGCACGAAAGCGUGGGGAGCAAAGAGG